rnacentral:rRNA from 1 species
CCUACGGGAGGCAGCAGUAGGGAAUCUUCGGCAAUGGGGGCAACCCUGACCGAGCAACGCCGCGUGAGUGAAGAAGGUUUUCGGAUCGUAAAGCUCUGUUGUAAGUCAAGAACGGGUGUGAGAGUGGAAAGUUCACACUGUGACGGUAGCUUACCAGAAAGGGACGGCUAACUACGUGCCACCACCCGCGGUAAUACGUAGGUCCCGAGCGUUGUCCGGAUUUAUUGGGCGUAAAGCGAGCGCAGGCGGUUUGAUAAGUCUGAAGUUAAAGGCUGUGGCUCAACCAUAAUUCGCUUUGGAAACUGUCAAACUUGAGUGCAGAAGGGGAGAGUGGAAUUCCAUGUGUAGCGGUGAAAUGCGUAGAUAUAUGGAGGAACACCGGUGGCGAAAGCGGCUCUCUGGUCUGUAACUGACGCUGAGGCUCGAAAGCGUGGGGAGCGAACAGGAUUAGAUACCCUGGUAGUC